UACGUAGGGUCCGAGCGUUGUCCGGAGUUACUGGGCGUAAAGCGCGCGCAGGUGGUUCCCUAAGCCCGGCGUGAAAGCCCCCGGCUCAACCGGGGAGGGUCGUCGGGGACUGGUGAACUUGAGGGCGGCAGGGGCUGGUGGAAUCCCCGGUGUAGUGGUGAAAUGCGUAGAGAUCGGGGGGAACACCCGGUGGCGAAGGCGGCCAGCUGGGCCGACCCUGACACUGAGGCGCGAAGGCGUGGGGAGCGAACGGG
rnacentral:rRNA from 1 species